CCCUUAGAUGUUCUGGGCCGCACGCGCGCUACACUGAUGCAUUCAACAAGCCUAGCCUUGACCGAGAGGUCCGGGUAAUCUUUGAAACUGCAUCGUGAUGGGGCUAGAUUAUCGCAAUUAUUAAUCUUCAACGAGGAAUGCCUAGUAAGCGUGAUUCAUCAAAUCGCGUUGAUUACGUCCCUGCCCUUUGUACACACCGCCCGUCGCUCCUACCGAUUGAAUGUGUUGGUGAGGAGCUCGGAUUGGCAGCAGUUGGUGGUUCGCCACCGGCUAUUGCUGAGAAGUCCUCCAAACCGCCCCAUUUAGAGGAAGGAGAAGUCGUAACA
rnacentral:rRNA from 1 species